CCUACGGGAGGCAGCAGUGAGGAAUAUUGGUCAAUGGUCGGGAGACUGAACCAGCCAAGCCGCGUGAGGGAGGAAGGUACAUAGUAUUGUAAACUUCUUUUGUCAGGGAACAAAGACUGGGACGCGUCCCCGGAUGAGUGUACCCGAAGAAAAAGCAUCGGCUAACUCCGUGCCAGCAGCCGCGGUAAUACGGAGGAUGCGAGCGUUAUCCGGAGUUAUUGGGUUUAAAGGGUGCGCAGGCGGUAAGGUAAGUCAGCGGUGAAAUGUUUGCGCGCAACGGGUUGGGGUGCCGUUGAUACGGGCUUGCUAGAUUGCGAGAGAAGUGGGAGGAAUGUGUGGUGUAGCGGUGAAAUGCAUAGAUAUCACGAAGAACACCGAUUGCGAAGGCAUCUCAC
rnacentral:rRNA from 1 species